UACGAAGGGGGGCUAGCGUUGUUCGGAAUUACUGGGCGUAAAGCGCACGUAGGCGGACUACUAAGUCAGGGGUGAAAUCCCGGGGCUCAACCCCGGAACUGCCUUUGAUACUGGUAGUCUCGAGUCCGGAAGAGGUGAGUGGAAUUCCGAGUGUAGGGGGUGAAAAUUCGUAGAUAUUCGGAGGAACACCAGUGGCGAAGGCGGCUCACUGGUCCGGUACUGACGCUGAGGUGCGAAAGCGUGGGGAGCAAACAGG
rnacentral:rRNA from 1 species